rnacentral:rRNA from 1 species
UUAAAACACCGGUUCCCGUACGAUCAAUGAAGUUAAGCAACGUCGAGCCUGGUCAGUACCUAGAUAGGUGACUGAUUGAGAAUACCAGAUGCUGUAGG